UUAGAGUUUGAUCCUGGCUCAGGAUGAACGCUGGCGGCGUGCCUAAUACAUGCAAGUCGAACGAAUCUCUUCGGAGAUGAGUGGCGAACGGGUGAGUAAUACAUAGGUAACCUGCCCCUGUGCGGGGGAUAACAGGAGGAAACUCCUGCUAAUACCGCAUAGCCAUGAGCACCGCAUGGAGCUCAUGCCAAAUAUCCUUUCGGGGAUAGCGCAGGGAUGGACCUAUGGCGCAUUAGCUUGUUGGCGGGGCAACGGCCCACCAAGGCAACGAUGCGUAGCCGGCCUGAGAGGGCGGACGGCCACAUUGGGACUGAGACACGGCCCAGACUCCUACGGGAGGCAGCAGUAGGGAAUUUUCGGCAAUGGGGGAAACCCUGACCGAGCAACGCCGCGUGAGCGAAGAAGGCCUUCGGGUCGUAAAGCUCUGUUGUAAAGGAAGAACGGCGCAUACAGGAAAUGGUAUGCGAGUGACGGUACUUUACCAGAAAGCCACGGCUAACUACGUGCCAGCAGCCGCGGUAAUACGUAGGUGGCGAGCGUUAUCCGGAAUCAUUGGGCGUAAAGAGGGAGCAGGCGGCCGCAAGGGUCUGUGGUGAAAGACCGAAGCUAAACUUCGGUAAGCCAUGGAAACCGGGCGGCUAGAGUGCGGAAGAGGAUCGUGGAAUUCCAUGUGUAGCGGUGAAAUGCGUAGAUAUAUGGAGGAACACCAGUGGCGAAGGCGACGGUCUGGGCCGCAACUGACGCUCAUUCCCGAAAGCGUGGGGAGCAAAUAGGAUUAGAUACCCUAGUAGUCCACGCCGUAAACGAUGGUCACUAAGUGUCGGGGGUCAAACCCCGGUGCUGCAGUCAACGCAAUAAGUGACCCGCCUGAGUAGUACGUUCGCAAG
rnacentral:rRNA from 1 species